rnacentral:rRNA from 1 species
GAUCCUGGCUUAGGAUGAACGCUGGCGGCGUGCCUAACACAUGCAAGUCGAGCGAGAAGCUGUGAACAGAGAUUCGUCAACGGGAUACAGCGGAAAGCGGCGGACGGGUGAGUAACGCGUAGGCAACCUGCCCCUUACACAGGGAUAGCCAUUGGAAACGAUGAUUAAAACCUGAUGAUACCGGAAGAUGACAUCUUCAUCCGGUCAAAGACUUAUCGGGUAAGGGAUGGGCCUGCGUCUGAUUAGAUAGUUGGUGAGGUAACGGCCCACCAAGUCAACGAUCAGUAGCCGACCUGAGAGGGUGAUCGGCCACAUUGGAACUGAGACACGGUCCAAACUCCUACGGGAGGCAGCAGUGGGGAAUAUUGCACAAUGGGGGAAACCCUGAUGCAGCAACGCCGCGUGAAGGAUGAAGGUCUUCGGAUCGUAAACUUCUGUCCUAGAGGAAGAUAAUGACGGUACUCUUGGAGGAAGCCCCGGCUAACUACGUGCCAGCCGCAGC